AUCCUACGGGAGGCAGCAGUGGGGAAUAUGCACAAUGGGCGCAAGCCUGAUGCAGCCAUGCCGCGUGUAUGAAGAAGGCCUUCGGGUUGUAAAGUACUUUCAGCAGUGAGGAAGGUGGUGCAGUUAAUAGCUGUAUCAUUUGACGUUAGCUGCAGAAGAAGCACCGGCUAACUCCGUGCCAGCAGCCGCGGUAAUACGGAGGGUGCGAGCGUUAAUCGGAAUUACUGGGCGUAAAGCGCAUGCAGGUGGUUUGUUAAGUCAGAUGUGAAAGCCCGGGGCUCAACCUCGGAAUUGCAUUUGAAACUGGCAGACUAGAGUACUGUAGAGGGGGUAGAAUUUCAGGUGUAGCGGUGAAAUGCGUAGAGAUCUGAAGGAAUACCGGUGGCGAAGGCGGCCCCCUGGACAGAUACUGACACUCAGAUGCGAAAGCGUGGGGAGCAAACAGGAUUAGAUACCCUGGUAG
rnacentral:rRNA from 1 species